GACUUUCUUGAUGGUCACGCUUGUGCUGGUGCAAGUUUUGGUUCAGCUGGAAAAGUCUUGGCUGCUACAUUCGUCAAUGCAUUUGUCAAUGCAGGCUUGCACCAGGUAUUGUUUGCAAACAUAAAAAUAUGAAAGCAUAGGAGCUUAGUUGUUUUAUAUCAGUUAAUAUUUUUCUCUUGCAGGACAAGUUAAUGACAGUCCCAGCAGACUCUUCAAGUGGUGGUUCAUCUGGAAAUUGCAAAAACAAAGAACAUGGGAAGAGCAGUGCUGAAGCAAGUUUGGGCAUGAUUCUAUUGUGGGAUGUCGACUUUGGGCUUGCUCAUAUUCACAAGUAUAUCCAUAGCAAUGAUAACUUAGUGAUUGCUGGAGCACUAUUAGGAAUUGGACUCGUCAACUGCAAUGUUAAUAAUGAUCUUGAUCCAGCAAGGGGAAUUCUGCGCGAAUACAUAGGUAAUGAAGAUUCUUCAAUCCGAAUUGGCGCAAUUAUGGGUUUGGGAAUUGCAUAUUCAGGUGCCCAAAAUGUCAAUUCGUUUACUGGAGCGUCUUUUGCAGUACAGUGAACUGAAUAUCAGGCGUGCAGUUCCUUUUGCUCUUGGUCUUCUGUGUAUAUCAAACCCAAAGGUACCCUUGUUAAAUUUUGCUGAACAACUUAUUUCACUAUUUGCUAACCCAGCUCCAAAAUCCUAGAUUUAAGUUCAAUAUGUUUAGAAAGCUGCAGAGAGAUUAUUUAUCUUCUUUUCUUUUUUAAAAGACUCUAUCUCUCACUAUUUUUUACUGGUUGUGCAUUUAUUCUACAGGUUAAUGUGAUGGACAUUUUAAGUAGGCUUAGUCAUGAUACAGAUUUAGAAGUUGCAAUGGUAAGACGGUAAUAGUAGACUCUAAGUUAUUGUUCUUCCCCUCAGCUUGCACUAAUGUAUGGAUGCUACAGGCUGCUGUUAUCUCCUUGGGUUUGAUAGGCGCUGGAACCAACCAUGUUCGCAUAGUUUUCAUGCUUGGCAAUCUUUCAAGUUAUUACUAUGGAGUUGAUUGCCUUUUAUUCUGUGUACAAAUUGCUCAAGGUUAGUACAUUUGGGGAAGGGUUUAUUGACACUAGAUCCCUACCAUUGUGAUCGCCUAUUACUAUCACCGUAAGUAGUUGUUCUACAUACACGAGCCUUCACUGAAAUGAUAAAAUAAGAUUCACAAAAUGAUAUAGGUUCACAGUCAACUUGGGGGGAGUGGUUUUCUUUCCGUAAAAUGCUAGUAUGUGCUUCAUUUUAGUUGACCUUGUAAAAACAUGAUUUUCUUUUGUUAUCAAGCAGGACUGCUUUUGCUGCUUUGAUUAUAAUGCUGCAUGCAUGUCUUGAUAUGAAAACUAUCAUAUUGGGGAAAUACCCUUUUGUUCUUUACUUCCUUCUUUUGGCGAUGCGGGUUCGU